ACUGCUUUAUUACAUUUGGGUUCUCAAUCCAGAUCUAGAUCUCACCAUGUCCUGAGAUAUAAGUCCUCUUCGGCCUUCUCCAAAGGACUGGGCAGCAUAUGAGCCGAGCUUCGCCAUCUCCACGGGACUGGGCUGAGCAGGGUUUCUCCUUCUUCAGCAAUAUCUCUGAUUCAAAGGAGCUAGCUACAUAGGGAUUUUUGAGGAUAUAUUCAAUUAUACAAAGGAGCUACACACUUUCCUAGUCAUGGUUCUGGGGUAGUUUAUAAGGGAAUGCUUGACGGUGGUGCAGUUGCUGCGACCGAUUGUUUGAUGAAAAGAAAUCCAGUGAAGGGAUAUUGCUCUGACACACAAGCGGAAAUGGUAGACUGUGGGGGCGAGCUUGUCUUCACAGAUGCACCGCAAAGGUUACUUUUCUUUGGAAAUCUACUUAAUGCGUGUCCUGAUGCAUCUCAUAGACAUGAAUGGAGAAGACGGUAUCAAAUCAUGAACGGAAUUUGUGACGGUUUAUAUUAUCCUCACAUUGUUCACUUGGAUCUGAAACCUACAAAUAUAUUGCUAGAAAAUUGCGGAUUUUGGUCUCUCGAGGAAAUUCUCAAUAUAGAAAACAGUAGGCUCGAACUAGAACAGAUCCUGGGUGUCAUCUCGACGCCUGUGUUUCUGGCUUCCGCCGAUCCAGGUGAUAUACACAAUCAUAUACUUCAUCUGAGGAAUGCAAUCCACAUUCUUGAAAACAGUAAGAGGACACUGCUGGAAGAACAACAAGAGCUCAUCGUGGCGGCGGCUGUCCAACCGUAGAAAUGAAAAUAGAAAAAGGUAGUUACUCGUCUAUCUCAACGUAAAUGAACGAAGUCACUUAAGUCUUCCUACUACUACUGCUCCUUCUUACUUAUUUUCUUUUUUGAUCUUAUUAUUCAUUCAUAAAAGCUUUGAUUAUUUUAUUGGGCUUUGUAUUAUUCAAGAAUCAAAUGGAUUAUUGGGCCUAGAAAAAGUCUAGACCCCGUAUAGACGAUUCCUAUUUUCUAUUGUGUGAAGAACUAGACUCCAUUUUGUUUAGACAGACUGGAAUCUAAGAUAAGAACCUAACAGAGCUUUUCUCAUCGAUCGACUGUAUUUUAUAAUUAGUCAUGCAUGGGAUAGUUGGCACUGGAAUUCUAUGUGCGUGGACAUAUCUCAUUCAACUCUGACAUAUAUAGUCUUUGUGUCAUAAUCAUGGAAAUACUAACAUGAGAGAUGAGUAUCAAGAUGUUCACGAUGUAAGAGGAGUUCGUUCUAAUAUAAAAGUACAUUUUCAAAUUUAUUGUGUUAUACAAAUUUGUAAAAUAUCCGCAUUCACUUAGAUAUAGAAUUUAGCUUGAAAUGAAUCAGACAUCUUUCCUCUAGUGUCAUGGUCACAUUUAAUUUUCUAAAUACCUACGAAUAGUGAUGUGUUACAGUAAUGGAUCUAGGAAGUUAUCAUCUAUUGCAAUUGGAUGACUAAUAGUAUAAAUGUACCAUAUUAGUACAGCAACAUGUCUUCAAUUGCACUUGCUCGUUAGUGUCUUAGGUACAAAUUGAGACAAGUUACUUUGUCCCUGUAGUUAGAUAGUGGUUAUAUGUAACAGCCAGGAAAAUACCUUAUAAAAUUUGCUUGUUCUUUUUGUUUUCUCCGUCAUCGUUACUAAAAUUCUAUUAAAGGUUUCUAUAGAAACCUCUCCAUCUCUUCUUAAAAAAAAUUGAGUUAAAUGGUGGCGAUGGUUUCCGAGGUGGAGGCAGGCGAGACAUCUCAUCGUCGCUGCGCCUUCUCCACUUAUCGCCGGCGUUAAUGCAGCGUCGCUCCUCUUCCAACCCUUCCUUCUCUUCCCGACAUUUCUUCGUUGCUUCCCGCGUCGCCACCGCCUAAUAGACCCGUCCUCCUUCCCAUUUUUACCACAAGUGCUCUCGUAGCACGGGACCCUCCCUCUACACGUAAAUGCCGUGCCGCCACGCCAUGAACUACUCCAUGCUGGGACCCAACAGCCGUGACAGACCGUCACCUCCAUCUCCGCCUCCACCUCCAGCCCCAUCGGCCGAACCUGCGUCACCCCCGCUUGAGCACGAGCUUGACGAGGCUUACAUGGAGGAGUUUGUUGAGCUCGGCACACAAUUUAUGGCCGACGCUGAGCAAGAGGCAGCGGAGCAUGCGAUGGCUGAGGAGGACGACGACGACUUGGAGGGAUGUAGCGACCGGCCGAACCCUGAGGAGAAGUCGGCCGAGAAGAAGUCCAUCCUCGCGUCCUAGUGUCAUAUAUAUAUUCUAUGGUCCGAGUAUGCAUCCUUUCAUUGUAUCGUUUCACUGACAUCUUUUUGUUUCAUCAAGGUAGAUAGAACAAUUCACACGACCGAUGACUGAGGCAUAGAUCACUCGUAGCCUCGAGUCUUAUAAACUGUGGCUUCUUGUGAAGGUGAUGUUCAUGGAGAACCAUGAGACCACUAUCAAUAGACACUACAUCCCCAUUUCACAGGAUACCACAGAUGCAUCAAGCGUUGAGGACAUCACACCGAGGGGUUGGGGUUCUGUGAUAUUAACGGCAUUUGCUUCUUCCCGGAUAGAACGAAGUGGUGAUGUGAGAUACGACAAGUUCUCAGGCAGUUCUUCUACAGUUUUUCACAGGCGAGCAUUCCCCCUCUUCACAUAUUUCACAUAUUCUACAGUUUUCUCUUAUAUUCUAGCUUUGUGUCAUUUUUUCGAGUCAUCUGUCCUAUUCGACGUUUUUUCGCUAAUAAUCCAUAUUGCCUUUACCUAUCGCCGAUGUUUCUUAUUUCACUGACCUUGCGAAUCGGCGUGCUUACUUAGGGUUGUGUGUUUAUCUCGAUAUCUUGUUGGGAUAUGUUAGGAAGUUGAUACCUGUUUCACCUUAUGGAUAAUGUUGUUGGAGAUAAUCAUGGCUAGUAAGUUGUACAACUAAAAUUUGGUGUGGUAUAAUAACCGGUUUUGGUGCAUGGAGCAGUUAUUCAUCUUCAAGGAUAUCUAUGAACCGAAGGAUAAAGUGAUACCCAUGCAACCUAUUGAAGAGUCACUUUGAGGAUGAUGUUUGGGUGACAGAAGGGAUGUGGCUGCACAACCUAAUGAGGGUCAAAUGGGACUAAAAUAUUCCUCUCAUUCAGCAAUUCUAUGCCACACUUGUUAUCAAGAAGGUAUCAAGAAGGACGAUGACCGUACUACGAAGUGGAUGACUGGAUCUUCUCCAAGCAGUUGAGCACCACACAUGGACAUCACACUUCUUCUCCUUUCAUCCAGAAGGAGGUGAAGAAGCUGAACUGGUUUCAGAGGAAUGUUCUGUGCAUGAAUGUCGAGAUUUACAAGGAGAACUAUCAGGCCAGCCGUAAGCACGCCAACAUGCAGUAUACUCAGGACACCGAGCGAGAAGACCAUAUACGCAACACAUAAUGGAUAUGCUCGAUGCAACAAACAUGUACACGAGAAUUAGUUUCGCAAGAAAUAAUAGAGCGCUCUGCUUCGAGUACAUGGAGGGAAGAGUCUUUACAAGUUUAUUUCUGAUGAAUCAUGUGGUUUUGAUUGGCACACACGAUACAAAAUAAUUAAGGAAAUUUGCGAGGUUUUAAAUCAUCUUCAUAAUGGGAGGUUGAGUGAUAUAUUUUAUCAUGUGGACUUGAAACCAGACAACAUAUUGUUGGGUAGAAACAUGAUGCCUGAAAUUGUAGAUUUUGGUAUAUCUAUACUCUUGGCUUCACCCAAGACGUAAAACUAUAAAAGGAAGAUUCUAAGUUACAUAUGUAA